rnacentral:rRNA from 1 species
UACAGAGGGUGCAAACGUUGUUCGGAUUUACUGGGCGUAAAGCGCGUGUAGGCUGCUUCGCAAGUCGGAUGUGAAAGCCCUGGGCUCAACCCAGGAAGUGCAUUCGAAACUGCAGAGCUGGAGUCCUGGAGAGGAAGGCGGAAUUCUCGGUGUAGAGGUGAAAUGCGUAGAUAUCGAGAGGAACACCAGUGGCGAAGGCGAGUCCCUGGACAUCUCCUGACACUGAGGCACGAAAGCUAGGGGAGCAAACAGG